CUCAGUGAUAAGGCCCUGGUUUAACCCCCUGUAGAGAGAAAAGUCAGGCGUGAUCACGCACGCCUAUCAUCCUAGCUAAAUGGAAGACUAAGGCAGGAGAAUCACAAGUUGGGGGGCCUGGGGAAUUUAGUGGGAGCCUGUCUCAAAUAAAAUUGGAAACACAACAGAGGAUGCUUUUUCCGCUUCAUUUCUGGAAGCCCCGCCUAUUCCGAGCAAGACGUCACUCAGGGAGCCUCCGUCUCCACGGCGACGGAAUGCAGCCUCGGAAAUCCCUGCGCAAGCGCAGAAAGAUUCCACUGGGGGGGAGGGGCGCGCCAGACCCGCCCCCUUACGCACAUUCAUCUACUGGGACUUCCCCACGGCCCCUUUCUGUGCCCGGUGUCCGCUCGCCCAGUUGACCGUCAGGCGCGAGUCUCUCUCUUUCUGAGGACCGUCCUCUCCUCACUAUGUGGCCUUCUUUGCCAGGAGGCGAUCGCGCAGACACAGAAGGCCCCAGGCCCGGCCGGCCCAGGCCCACCCGUUCGAUCGCAACCGUACACUCGAGUCUGCGCCGGGAAUGUCACACGCGCGGGGUCUCCUGGGAGCUCCCGCCCCGCCCCCUUGCGCGGUGCUGCCUGCGUUAUGCGCAGGCGCUCCUGGGAGCUCCCGCCCCGCCCACUGGCCCAGGUCCGCGAACUACGGCUCCCUGUAGGCAGUGCAGCGGCCUGGACCAGAGCCGGGGUCGCGACGGGCGGCCGGGUGGGCUCGGGCGCGGCGGGGCGGCCUGGCCUGGGUCCUGAGCAGCGGGACAGUCGGCUGACGACGAGGUGCAGGCUCAGCGCUGCCUGGUUACCCCGCGGCCCUGGGUCGAGCGCGCCGGAAAACUCUGGGGUUGGAUCGCUUGGUGCCCACGCCGAAGCUCUGCACGGUCGAGGCCAGUCUCUGGGGUCCAGGAGCCAGGGCUGCAGCCCGAGCCUCAAGGCGGGCCGGGACCGUGGACGACCGGACAGGAUGCCCACCUGCAUCUUAGAAGCGGCUGUCCGAUGGGAAGAGCCUGUCACGCCCCGUUUUGGGCCAGUUGACUGCCGCACACGAUGUCAGCUUGGCAGUGUCUUUGGGCACAGCCGAGGUGCUAGGAGUAGGACAGCCUCAUGGCCCGUGCUGUCUGCAUCACGUCACGUUAUUCUGAAUAAAAGCAAUCUGACAACUUCUUGCUAAACAUGAUUUAAUUUCUGUAUUGUUGUAAAGCUUUCUAAUAAAGUAUUCACAAAUAGGGAACAGUGUCUUCCUGCACCGUCCUGGGGCUUCUGUCCUCUUAAGAGACGGAUGGUUCUUGUGGAGAGAGACGCGUGUGGGUGGCAGCAGCCCCAGUGGCCUCUGGUGAUGGUGACAAAUACUAAGUGUGUCAGACUGCCUCUAAAACCAUUUUUCUCCAGACUGGUUUGCUGCCUGCCCGCUUGGUUUGCUGUGUUCUGUGUUGGCAAUGGCUGCUAGCUUUCCACUGGAAAUCUUGGUGGCUGAGCGAAUUUGUGACCCAGGAAGUAACAAGUAAAUGCCUGGGAUGCUGACUGGAGGCUGCUGUGUGCUCUGAGGUGAGUUCUGAUUUCUCUGAAGCACAUUUGCUGACCAAGUCCUCGUACUCUGCUGGCCCCACAGUCUUUGUCGACAUUCGUAGCAAGCUGAGAGCCUCCAAAACCCAGACUAGCUAGCAAGUCCAGCAUUUCUGGCCAAGGAGACAUUGGGAACCCUGCGAGCCGGUUUGCACUUCGACGCUCGCGUGUGUGUUCGCUUCGGCAUUCAGCAUCCUGAAGUGUGAGGUGGCAGCUGUGUGCUUAGGAGAGGGGUGAAGGCCCCUGCUCUGCGGCUCCAGACUGUUCAAGACUGGCACAAUACAGAGUGCUUAGGUCACACAAAGCGAAUCCACAGGACCGUGGCUGGGGGUCAGGUCCACACCACCCUGGAGCUGUCCCAUUGCAGACUGCUAUGAAUGGAGUCACUGUAGUGCAUGUUCUCUUCCACUCACUGCCCUUCAGUGUCCAUUUGUGAGCUUUGCCUCUCUGUAUAUAGUGAGCAGGGUUUGCGCUCCCUUGGGGACUAAAGGGGGCUGAGGCAGGAGUACUGCAAAUUAGUCUGGCUUGGUAAACUUACAGACUUAGUGAGACCUCAUCUCAAAAUAAAAAGGUCUGGGAGCCGGGCGUGGUGGCACACACCUGCAACCUUAGCACUCAGGGGGCUGAGGCAGGAGGAUGGCCAUGAGUUCCAGGCCAGCCUGGGCUACAUGGUGAAUUCAGGUCCAGCCUGGGCUACAUAGCGAGACCCUGUCUCAAUAAAGCAAAAAGAAAG
ensembl:lncRNA